rnacentral:rRNA from 1 species
AUUGAACGCUGGCGGCAGGCCUAACACAUGCAAGUCGAGCGGAUGAAGGGAGCUUGCUCCUGGAUUCAGCGGCGGACGGGUGAGUAAUGCCUAGGAAUCUGCCUGGUAGUGGGGGAUAACGUCCGGAAACGGGCGCUAAUACCGCAUACGUCCUGAGGGAGAAAGUGGGGGAUCUUCGGACCUCACGCUAUCAGAUGAGCCUAGGUCGGAUUAGCUAGUUGGUGGGGUAAAGGCCUACCAAGGCGACGAUCCGUAACUGGUCUGAGAGGAUGAUCAGUCACACUGGAACUGAGACACGGCCCAGACUCCUACGGGAGGCAGCAGUGGGGAAUAUUGGACAAUGGGCGAAAGCCUGAUCCAGCCAUGCCGCGUGUGUGAAGAAGGUCUUCGGAUUGUAAAGCACUUUAAGUUGGGAGGAAGGGCAGUAAGUUAAUACCUUGCUGCUUUGACGUUACCAACAGAAUAAGCACCGGCUAACUUCGUG